rnacentral:rRNA from 1 species
GACGAACGCUGGCGGCGUGCUUAACACAUGCAAGUCGAACGGAAAGGCCCUUCGGGGUACUCGAGUGGCGAACGGGUGAGUAACACGUGGGUGAUCUGCCCUGCACUUUGGGAUAAGCCUGGGAAACUGGGUCUAAUACCGAAUAGGACCGCGCGCUUCAUGGUGUGUGGUGGAAAGCUUUUGCGGUGUGGGAUGGGCCCGCGGCCUAUCAGCUUGUUGGUGGGGUAAUGGCCUACCAAGGCGACGACGGGUAGCCGGCCUGAGAGGGUGACCGGCCACACUGGGACUGAGAUACGGACCAGACUCCUACGGGAGGCAGCAGUGGGGAAUAUUGCACAAUGGGCGCAAGCCUGAUGCAGCGACGCCGCGUGAGGGAUGACGGCCUUCGGGUUGUAAACCUCUUUCACCAGGGACGAAGCGCAAGUGACGGUACCUGGAGAAGAAGCACCGGCCAACUACGUG